GAUAUCACGGUUGAAUAUCAUCAC
rnacentral:siRNA from 1 species